rnacentral:rRNA from 1 species
UACGGAAGGCAGCAGUGGGGAAUAUUGGACAAUGGGCGCAAGCCUGAUCCAGCCAUGCCGCGUGAGUGAUGACGGCCUUAGGGUUGUAAAGCUCUUUCGCACGCGACGAUAAUGACGGUAGCGUGAGAAGAAGCCCCGGCUAACUUCGUGCCAGCAGCCGCGGUAAUACGAAGGGGCUAGCGUUGUUCGGAAUCACUGGGCGUAAAGGGUGCGUAGGCGGAUUCUUAAGUCAGGGGUGAAAUCCCGAGGCUCAACCUCGGAACUGCCUUUUGAUACUGGGGAUCUUGAGUCCGGAAGAGGUGAGUGGAACUGCGAGUGUAGAGGUGAAAUUCGUAGAUAUUCGCAAGAACACCGGUGGCGAAGGCGGCUCACUGGUCCGGAACUGACGCUGAGGGCACGACAGCGUGGGGAGCAAACAGGGAUUAGAUACC